rnacentral:rRNA from 1 species
GACGAACGCUGGCGGCGUGCCUAAUACAUGCAAGUAGAACGCACAGUUUAUACCGUAGCUUGCUACACCAUAGACUGUGAGUUGCGAACGGGUGAGUAACGCGUAGGUAACCUGCCUGGUAGCGGGGGAUAACUAUUGGAAACGAUAGCUAAUACCGCAUAAUAUUAAUUAUUGCAUGAUAAUUAAUUGAAAGGUGCAAUUGCACCACUACCAGAUGGACCUGCGUUGUAUUAGCUAGUAGGUGAGGUAACGGCUCACCUAGGCGACGAUACAUAGCCGACUUGAGAGGGAGAACGGCCACACUGGGACUGAGACCCGGCCCAGACUUCUACGGGAGGCAGCAGGAGGGAAUCUUCGGAAAUGGAGGACAGGCCGACCGAGGAACGACGGGGGAGGGAAGGAGGUUUUCGGGUCGGAAAGCUCUGUUUUAUGGGAAGGAAGGGUGGGAGAUUAGAAAGUUCACGUUGUGACGGUAUCUUAACAGAAAGCGACGGCUAACUACGUG